GGACAGAAGAGAGCUGCUCACUGAGGAAGUUCAUGUCUACAAGCUCAGUGAAGCUGUGAACCACCUUCACACUUCCCCAAUAUUCACAGAUUCAUCCAACUUGUCUCCACAAAGAGGACGCUGACUUCAUCAGAGAUGGAGAAAUUCAGGGAGGACCUCUGCAGCACGAUCGAGUGGCUCAUCGGGGAGGAGUUCAAACGGUUCAAGUGGCUCCUCAUAAAAAUCCCAGCCGCUCACCGGGAGAAGGCAGACAAGAUGGACACAGUGGACCUGAUGUUGCGCUACUACGGCAAAGACGUUCUUAAGGUGGCCAGAGAGGUUUUGGAAAAGAUUCCAAGAAUGGAUCUGCUCGAAAGAUUACCCCAAAUUAUUCCGACGGGCGAACCGAAUCCUGUGGGAGGAGAUGGAGGUCAAGG